CAGUCGCCGCGGGAACACGGAGGGUGCGAGCGUUAAUCGGAAUAACUGGGCGUAAAGGGCACGCAGGCGGUGACUUAAGUGAGGUGUGAAAGCCCCGGGCUUAACCUGGGAAUUGCAUUUCAUACUGGGUCGCUAGAGUACUUUAGGGAGGGGUAGAAUUCCACGUGUAGCGGUGAAAUGCGUAGAGAUGUGGAGGAAUACCGAAGGCGAAGGCAGCCCCCUGGGAUAACACUGACGCUCAUGCACGAAAGCGUGGGGAGCAAACAGGAUUAGAUACCCCAGUAGUCCCUGUCUCUUAUAA
rnacentral:rRNA from 1 species